rnacentral:rRNA from 1 species
GUACACUCCUACGGGAGGCAGCAGUGGGGAAUUUUGGACAAUGGGCGAAAGCCUGAUCCAGCAAUGCCGCGUGAGUGAAGAAGGCCUUCGGGUUGUAAAGCUCUUUUGUCAGGGAAGAAACGGUGAGAGCUAAUAUCUCUUGCUAAUGACGGUACCUGAAGAAUAAGCACCGGCUAACUACGUGCCAGCAGCCGCGGUAAUACGUAGGGUGCAAGCGUUAAUCGGAAUUACUGGGCGUAAAGCGUGCGCAGGCGGUUUUGUAAGUCUGAUGUGAAAUCCCCGGGCUCAACCUGGGAAUUGCAUUGGAGACUGCAAGGCUAGAAUCUGGCAGAGGGGGGUAGAAUUCCACGUGUAGCAGUGAAAUGCGUAGAUAUGUGGAGGAACACCGAUGGCGAAGGCAGCCCCCUGGGUCAAGAUUGACGCUCAUGCACGAAAGCGUGGGGAGCAAACAGGAUUAGAAACCCGAGUAGUCCCAUGA